rnacentral:lncRNA from 1 species
CGGCUCCCAAAAUUUCAUUGUUCCCCUUCAGAGCUAGUCUCUUUUGUCUGGACUUAACACAGGUAUUUGUUAUAAUUUACUGGGCCUUUAAGUGAUUCAAACCUAGGCAAUUAGAAUGAUCAGGAGACUGUCAGCUUUUUCUCACCUUAAUCUACAUCUACCUUUACCAAAAUGCUGGUGGUCAUAAACUCUUUUUGAUUCUUUUUUCUGUCCUGUAUGUUGGUCAUUCAUGGUACAGGAAAUGCAGUGACAUGGGAAUAGUAUAAAGCUAGACCAUACUGAGAAGUGAAGUAAGGAUUUUUUUUUUCCCUUGCAAGGGAUUAGUUGAUCAUGCCUUGACUAUGUUCUUUGUGCUUUCAGAAUAACACAAAUACAUGAUACAAGAAGUAGAUAUAUUUGGGAGGGUGGAGGGAGGUAGAUAUUUGGAAGUGGUUAAUACUUAAAAAAAUGAAAACAAA